rnacentral:rRNA from 1 species
CUUCCACAACUAAGACGAACGGCAGCGCCGGUCUACGGCCCGGGCGGCGCGCGGCGAACGUAGCACGGUAAUAACAUCGGCGACGCCUCCGUCAGCUGGGGCGAGUCUUCGGGCGAAAGCCGGUUAAUAACCGCCAUACGAACCCGAGGGGCGAAAGCGGGGAGACUUUAGGGGCCUCGCGUAAUCGGAGCGGCUCGCCGGCAGAAUAAGCCUAGUUCGAGCGGGUAAAGACCCUACCAAGAGCGAACGUUCUGUAGCUGGGUUCGAGAUGGCGAACCAGCUCACACUGGGAACUGAGAACACGGCCUAGAAUCCUACGGGAGGCAGCAGUCGGGGGAAUUUUUGGAACAAUGGGCGCAAGCCUGAACCAGCAAUGCCGCGUGGGUGAAUGAAGCCUUUCGGGUUGUAAAGCACUUUUUGGCGGGAACGAAAAGGAACUGUGCCAAUACCACGGUUUCAUGAACGGUACCCGCAGAAAUAAGCACCGGCUAACUACAUUGCCACAGCCGCGGUAAUACGUAGGGUGCGAGCGUUUAUCGGAAUUACUGGGCGUAAAGAGUUGCGCAGGCGGUUUUGCAAGACCGAUGUGAAAUCCCCGGGCUUAACCUGGGAACUGCAUUGGUGACUGCAAGGCUAGAGUGUGUCAGAGGGAGGUGGAACUCCGCAUGUAGCAGUGAAAUGCGUAGAUAUGCGGAAGAACACCGAUGGCGAAGGCAGCCUCCUGGGAUAACACUGACGCUCAUGCACGAAAGCGUGGGGAGCAAACAGGAUUAGAUACCCUGGUAGCCCACGCCCUAAACGAUGUCUACUAGUUGUCGGGGAUUAAUUUCCUUGGUAACGUAGCUAACGCGUGAAGUAGACCGCCUGGGGAGUACGGUCGCAAGAUUAAAACUCAAAGGAAUUGACGGGGACCCGCACAAGCGGUGGAUGAUGUGGAUUAAUUCGAUGCAACGCGAAAAACCUUACCUACGCUUGACAUGUCCGGAACCUUGGAGAGAUUCGAGGGUGCCCGAAAGGGAACCGGAACACAGGUGCUGCAUGGCUGUCGUCAGCUCGUGUCGUGAGAUGUUGGGUUAAGUCCCGCAACGAGCGCAACCCUUAUCAUUAGUUGCUACGCAGGGGCACUCUAAUGAGACUGCCGGUGACAAACCGGAGGAAGGUGGGGAUGACGUCAAGUCCUCAUGGCCCUUAUGUGUAGGGCUUCACACGUCAUACAAUGGUCGGUACAGAGGGUUGCCAAGCCGCGAGGUGGAGCCAAUCCCACAAAACCGAUCGUAGUCCGGAUUGCAGUCUGCAAACUCGACUGCAUGAAAGUCGGAAUCGCUAGUAAUCGCGGAAUCAGCAUGCCGCGGUGAAUACGUUCCCGGGUUCUUGCACACACCGCCCGUCA